CAGAUCAAUUGCAGUACGCUUUGGGAGUAGGUCCAGGUCAGCUGGGACUUUAACCCCACUUACCCUUAUACUGAGGCAAAAGAAACAACAUACAGCGAUGAUUGUUUUGACUUCAUUUUCAGCUUUCCCUUUUUAGAAACAGUGGCUUGGCUCCCCAACUGGUUGUAAAUCCAGGUCUCUGCAGUAGAACUAUUCUGAUUUACACCAGAGGAAAAUCUGGCCUCUAGCUGAGAAGAAAUGGGCUGCCAGUUUAAUUACUUCAUCCCAGCAGUUACUCCGAGGAGGGAUAAUCCUCUCAUCAUAUAUAAAAGACAGUGGAAAUGCUGCAGAUGAGGAUGUCCCUUGUGUAAGAGAGGAUCCUAGAUGCUAUCACGUGUCAGCCAAACCAGGCUUCCUGCAGGGUUCUGUUGGACUGUCUGGAAAAAGUAUUCCAAGACCUCAUGGUUUUAGUUUCCAUCAGGGGAACUGAGCUCUGCUGAAAAGGGUAUCUCCUGUAGGAAAGGAUUGCUUACUGAAGCUUUCAGAGAUAGAUAUAUGGAAUUAAAUCUAUCAAAGCAAAAAUGCUAAUUGUUUGUGGAAUGAUAAAAAAAAAAAGAA
rnacentral:lncRNA from 1 species